GGGCGAGUAGUUUAGUGGUUAAACAGUUGGUUGUCACCCAACAGUUCCGAGUUCGAUUCUCGGCUCGUCCA
rnacentral:tRNA from 1 species